rnacentral:rRNA from 1 species
AGUGAACGCUGGCGGUAGGCCUAACACAUGCAAGUCGAACGGCAGCACAGUAAGAGCUUGCUCUUACGGGUGGCGAGUGGCGGACGGGUGAGGAAUACAUCGGAAUCUACUUUUUCGUGGGGGAUAACGUAGGGAAACUUACGCUAAUACCGCAUACGACCUACGGGUGAAAGCAGGGGAUCUUCGGACCUUGCGCGAUUGAAUGAGCCGAUGUCGGAUUAGCUAGUUGGGGGGGUAAAGGCCCACCAAGGCGACGAUCCGUAGCCGGUCUGAGAGGGUGGUGAGCCGCACUGGAAGGGGGGCACCGUCCAGAGUCCUGAGGGAGGGCGCAGUGGGGAAUAUUGGGCAAUGGGGGCAAGCCUGAUCCAGCCAUACCGCGUGGGUGAAGAAGGCCUUCGGGUUGUAAAGCCCUUUUGUUGGGAAAGAAAAGCAGCAGGUUAAUACCCCGCUGUUCUGACGGUACCCAAAGAAUAAGCACCGGCUAACUUCGUG